GAUUCGUCACACUAUCAUUAACUGAAUCCAUAGGUUAAUGAGGCGAACCGGGGGAACUGAAACAUCUAAGUACCCCGAGGAAAAGAAAUCAACCGAGAUUCCCCCAGUAGCGGCGAGCGAACGGGGAGGAGCCCAGAGCCUGAAUCAGCAUGUGUGUUAGUGGAAGCGUCUGGAAAGGCGCGCGAUACAGGGUGACAGCCCCGUACACAAAAGCGCAUGUGCUGUGAGCUCGAUGAGUAGGGCGGGACACGUGGUAUCCUGUCUGAAUAUGGGGGGACCAUCCUCCAAGGCUAAAUACUCCUGACUGACCGAUAGUGAACCAGUACCGUGAGGGAAAGGCGAAAAGAACCCCGGCGAGGGGAGUGAAAAAGAACCUGAAACCGUGUACGUACAAGCAGUG
rnacentral:rRNA from 1 species